GACGAACGCUGGCGGCGUGCCUAAUACAUGCAAGUUGAGCGGAAGUUGAAGAGCUUGCUCUUCAACUUUAGCGGCGGACGGGUGAGUAACACGUGGGCAACCUGCCCUGCAGAUCGGGAUAACUCCGGGAAACCGGUGCUAAUACCGAAUAGUUUUGGGUCCCUCCUGGGACCUAACGGAAAGACGGUUUCGGCUGUCACUGCAGGAUGGGCCCGCGGCGCAUUAGCUAGUUGGUGGGGUAACGGCCCACCAAGGCGACGAUGCGUAGCCAACCUGAGAGGGUGAUCGGCCACACUGGGACUGAGACACGGCCCAGACUCCUACGGGAGGCAGCAGUAGGGAAUCUUCCGCAAUGGACGCAAGUCUGACGGAGCAACGCCGCGUGAGUGAUGAAGGUUUUCGGAUCGUAAAACUCUGUUGCGAGGGAAGAAACCGUGCCAAUUAACUACUGGCACCUUGACGGUACCUCGCCAGAAAGCCAGGGCUAACUACGUGCCAGCCGCCGCGGUAA
rnacentral:rRNA from 1 species